UGAUAAAAACAUAGCACAAGUACUAGAUUUUAACCCUCACUAUACCGCGGGACGAUUUAUUUUUUAAAGAUAAUAUAUAUUAAAAUUUGUAAAUUUUAUUUUUAUAAAAUAUUUAUAUUUUAUAGUUUAUAAUUGUUAUUAAGUAACGUUAUACGACGAAUACAUGAGACAAUUGUUAAAAAACUGAAGUUUUAAUCCUUAUUAAAACAACAUAUUA
rnacentral:sRNA from 1 species